GCAGGGGAUAGCCCGACGGGGCAAAAAGCGGGAUUCGUCCUUAUCCGUUUCCCCUGCACCACCAAAGGAC
rnacentral:sRNA from 12 species